rnacentral:rRNA from 1 species
CAUUAAAGCGGUACGCGAGCUGGGUUUAGAACGUCGUGAGACAGUUCGGUCCCUAUCCGCUGUGCGCGUAGGAAUAUUGAGAAGGGCUGUCCCUAGUACGAGAGGACCGGGACGGACGAACCUCUGGUGUGCCAGUUGUUCUGCCAAGGGCAUGGCUGGUUGGCUACGUUCGGGAGGGAUAACCGCUGAAAGCAUCUAAGCGGGAAGCCUGCUUCGAGAUGAGUAUUCCCACCUCCUUGAGAGGGUAAGGCUCCCAGUAGACGACUGGGUUGAUAGGCCGGAUAUGGAAGCCCUGUAAGGGGUGGAGUUGACCGGUACUAAUAGGCCGAGGGCUUGUCCUC